CAAUAGCGUAUAUUUAGGUUGCUGCAGUUAAAAAGCUCGUAGUUGGAUUUCGGGUGGGAAUGGCCGGUCCGCCGUUUCGGUGUGCACUUGCUACGCCCACCUUGCUGCCGGGGACGUGCUCUUGAGUUCACGCUCGGGACACGGAGUCGGCGAGGUUACUUUGAGUAAAUUAGAGUGUUCAAAGCAGGCCUACGCUCUGAAUACAUUAGCAUGGAAUAACACGAUAGGACUCUGGCCUAUCUUGUUGGUCUGUAGGACCGGAGUAAUGAUUAAGAGGGACAGUCGGGGGCAUUCGUAUUUCAUUGUCAGAGGUGAAAUUCUUGGAUUUAUGAAAGACGAACUACUGCGAAAGCAUUUGCCAAGGAUGUUUUCAUUAA
rnacentral:rRNA from 1 species